rnacentral:lncRNA from 1 species
CUCGGGAAGGGUGGCUACAUUCCCCAGACAGGUUGGCGCGUGGGGAGGACGCCUCCUGGAAGUGUUUUCGUUCGCGUGCUGGGCGCACGAACGCUGCUUGAGCACUGCUCCUGGUCGCCCGGAAGCAGUAUACCUGCCAGCAAGGUGUCACAGCAUUCGGACGCAUCCGUCAAAGACAACUGGUGCUGCUCCAGGAUCAUCAUGCUUGGGAAAGCAGAUAUGGCACCAUGAACAGUUUUAUGUCGGUAUUGUGACCGCAGGAAGACAUAACUCAAGUCGACUUUCAUGCAAGUACUCCAUGGGGCCAUCCUGCUUAACACACCGCGCUACCGUGCUUUCCGCAACAAAUCGGGAUACGAACCAAGAAAAUGGUUUCGGCGGGAGACUGUGUCGACGGCAGGAAACAUCGCGCUGACAACGCUGGCAACAGCAACACCUAACGCCUGUUCCAUGGUUUAGUGAUUGUCGCAUCGGGCAUGAUAAGAGGGAAGUGUAUGGUCUGCGCAAGGGUGCUGUUGUCGAGGCAAUUUCGGUCAAAUACAUGAUGAAUAAACUUU